UGGUCCUUGUGUGAAGCAACCAGAGGAGCCGGCCCGUGGGCAGCGGCAGCGGCAGGGCGAGGGAGCGGGAGGAAUCGCCCCAGCAGCGCCCCCCACCCCCAGCCAGCCGAGCGGGCCGGCACGCCCAGGCGCCCGGCAGUCACCAUGCCUGGGCUGGGGAGCGGGGCUGCGGGCAGCAGGCUGCCGGGAUAUCGCUACUCCUAGCUGGACAGAGACCGGGGGGAGGCUGCACGGGAGCCUGGUAAAGUUUUGGACAGUGCUUUCCCAAGAGGUGAUAUGAGAAAUGGCUUUAGGAAACAACACCCAGCGAAGUUAUUCUAUCAUCCCAUGUUUCAUCUUUGUCGAGGUGAUCAACAUGGCU